ACGGGUGAGUAAUGCCUAGGAAUCUGCCUGGUAGUGGGGGACAACGUUUCGAAAGGAACGCUAAUACCGCAUACGUCCUACGGGAGAAAGCAGGGGACCUUCGGGCCUUGCGCUAUCAGAUGAGCCUAGGUCGGAUUAGCUAGUUGGUGAGGUAAUGGCUCACCAAGGCGACGAUCCGUAACUGGUCUGAGAGGAUGAUCAGUCACACUGGAACUGAGACACGGUCCAGACUCCUACGGGAGGCAGCAGUGGGGAAUAUUGGACAAUGGGCGAAAGCCUGAUCCAGCCAUGCCGCGUGUGUGAAGAAGGUCUUCGGAUUGUAAAGCACUUUAAGUUGGGAGGAAGGGCAGUCAGCGAAUACCUUGCUGUCUUGACGUUACCGACAGAAUAAGCACCGGCUAACUCUGUGCCAGCGGCCGCGGUAAUACAGAGGGUGCAAGCGUUAAUCGGAAUUACUGGGCGUAAAGCGCGCGUAGGUGGUUUGUUAAGUUGAAUGUGAAAUCCCCGGGCUCAACCUGGGAACUGCAUCCAAAACUGGCAAGCUAGAGUAGGGCAGAGGGUGGUGGAAUUUCCUGUGUAGCGGUG
rnacentral:rRNA from 1 species